rfam:Myotis davidii contig96531, whole genome shotgun sequence.
UGCUAAUUAUCAGGGCUUUCAGAAGGCACGUUCUCAUCGCUGUGGAGAGAGCGUUCCCGCUAGGUUUUCCUUCUGCUACAUUGCUAGCAUUCAGGCUACUGGGGACAUUU